GGAAUUGUUCGCAAUGGGGGAAACCCUGACGCAGCAACGCCGCGUGAGUGAGGAAGGUCUUCGGAUUGUAAAACUCUUUUAUUUGGGAAAAGUGGUUAAGGAGCUAAUACCCCUUAAUUUGAUGGUACCACAGGAAUAAGCACCGGCUAACUUCGUGCCAGCAGCCGCGGUAAUACGAAGGGUGCAAGCGUUGUUCGGAAUCAUUGGGCGUAAAGCGCGCGCAGGCGGAUUUGCAAGUCAGAUGCGAAAUCUCGGGGCUCAACCGCGAAACUGCGUCUGAAACUGCAAGUCUAGAAUGUCGGAGGGGGCAGGGGAAUUUCACGUGUAGGGGUAAAAUCCGUAGAGAUGUGAAGGAACACCGGAGGCGAAGGCGCCUGCCUGGACGACUAUUGACGCUGAGGCGCGAAAGCGUGGGGAGCAAAC
rnacentral:rRNA from 1 species